rnacentral:rRNA from 1 species
AUUCGCGGCCUAUCAGCUUGUUGGUGAGGUAAUGGCUCACCAAGGCGACGACGGGUAGCCGGCCUGAGAGGGUGACCGGCCACACUGGGACUGAGACACGGCCCAGACUCCUACGGGAGGCAGCAGUGGGGAAUAUUGCACAAUGGGCGAAAGCCUGAUGCAGCAACGCCGCGUGGGGGAUGACGGCCUUCGGGUUGUAAACCUCUUUUAGUAAGGAAGAAGCCUUCGGGUGACGGUACUUGCAGAAAAAGGACCGGCUAACUACGUGCCAGCAGCCGCGGUAAUACGUAGGGUCCGAGCGUUGUCCGGAAUUAUUGGGCGUAAAGAGCUCGUAGGCGGUUUGUCGCGUCUGCUGUGAAAUCCCGAGGCUCAACCUCGGGCCUGCAGUGGGUACGGGCAGACUUGAGUGCGGUAGGGGAGAAUGGAAUUCCUGGUGUAGCGGUGGAAUGCGCAGAUAUCAGGAGGAACACCGAUGGCGAAGGCAGUUCUCUGGGCCGUAACUGACGCUGAGGAGCGAAAGCAUGGGGAGCGAACAGGAUUAGAUACCCUGGUAGUCCAUGCCGUAAACGUUGGGCGCUAGAUGUGGGGACCUUUCCACGGUUUCCGUGCCGUAGCUAACGCAUUAAGCGCCCCGCC